rnacentral:snoRNA from 1 species
GAUGCCCCCAUUCCAACAGGGCAGCCAAUAAAAAAAGUAGGACAGAAAGCAGGAUCUCUUUGCCAUUGGGUGUGAUUCGACUCUACCCCUCAAGUGAAUCUGGAGAUUCUACCAUC